CAAUAGCGUAUAUUAAAGUUGUUGCGGUAAAAAAGCUCGUAGUUGGAUUUCUACCGAAGAUAGCCGGUCGGGUCUUCGACCUUGUAUCUGGUUUUGUCUUUGGUAUCCUCAUAGGGAACGUUUCUGCGCUUUAUUGCGUGGUGCGGUAUCUAUGACUUUUACUUUGAGGAAAUUAGAGUGUUCACGGCAGGCAAACGCCUUGAAUAUAUUAGCAUGGAAUAAUAACAUAGGAUCUUCGUCCUAUUUUGUUGGUUUCUAGGGCUAAGAUAAUGAUUAAUAGGGAUAAUUGGAGGCAUCUGUAUCAACGCGUCAGAGGUGGAAUUCUUGGAUUGCGUUGCGACAAACUACUGCGAAAGCAUUUGCCAAGGAUGUUUUCAUUGA
rnacentral:rRNA from 1 species